rnacentral:rRNA from 1 species
GAUGAACGCUGGCGGCGUGCUUAACACAUGCAAGUCGAACGAAGCAAUCUAACGGAAGUUUUCGGAUGGAAGCUAGAUUGACUGAGUGGCGGACGGGUGAGUAACGCGUGGGUAACCUGCCUCACACUGGGGGACAACAGUUAGAAAUGACUGCUAAUACCGCAUAAGCGCACAGGACCGCAUGGUCCGGUGUGAAAAACUCCGGUGGUGUGAGAUGGACCCGCGUUUGAUUAGCUAGUUGGUGGGGUAACGGCCUACCAAGGCGACGAUCAAUAGCCGACCUGAGAGGGUGACCGGCCACAUUGGGACUGAGACACGGCCCAAACUCCUACGGGAGGCAGCAGUGGGGAAUAUUGCACAAUGGGGGAAACCCUGAUGCAGCGACGCCGCGUGAGUGAAGAAGUAUUUCGGUAUGUAAAGCUCUAUCAGCAGGGAAGAAAAUGACGGUACCUGACUAAGAAGCCCCGGCUAACUACGUGCCAGCAGCCGCGGUAAUACGUAGGGGGCAAGCGUUAUCCGGAUUUACUGGGUGUAAAGGGAGCGUAGACGGUAAAGCAAGUCUGAAGUGAAAGCCCGGGGCUCAACCCCGGGACUGCUUUGGAAACUGUUUAACUAGAGUGCUGAGAGGUAAGCGGAAUUCCUAGUGUAGCGGUGAAAUGCGUAGAUAUUAGGAGGAACACCAGUGGCGAAGGCGGCUUACUGGACAGUAACUGACGUUGAGGCUCGAAAGCGUGGGGAGCAAACAGGAUUAGAUACCCUGGUAGUCCACGCCGUAAACCUACAAAAAUGGGUGUUGGGGGACAAAGUCCUCCGGUGCGGUCCCAAACGCAAUAAGUAUUCCACCUGGGGAGUACGUUCGCAAGAAUGAAACUCAAAGAAAUGACGGGGACCCGCACAAGCGGUGGAGCAUGUGGUGUAAUUCGAAGCAACGCGAAGAACCUUACCAAAUCUUGACAUCCCUCUGACCGGCGAGUAAUGUCGCCUCUCCUUCGGGACAGAGGAGACAGGUGGUGCAUGGUUGUCGUCAGCUCGUGUCGUGAGAUGUUGGGUUAAGUCCCGCAACGAGCGCAACCCUUAUCCUAAGUAGCCAGCAGUUCGGCUGGGCACUCUUGGGAGACUGCCAGGGAUAACCUGGAGGAAGGUGGGGAUGACGUCAAAUCAUCAUGCCCCCUAUGAUUUGGGCUACACACGUGCUACAAUGGCGUAAACAAAGAGAAGCGAGACCGCGAGGUGGAGCAAAUCUCAAAAAUAACGUCUCAGUUCGGACUGCAGGCUGCAACUCGCCUGCACGAAGCUGGAAUCGCUAGUAAUCGCGAAUCAGAAUGUCGCGGUGAAUACAAUCCCGGGUCUUGCAC